rnacentral:rRNA from 1 species
GACGAACGCUGGCGGCGUGCUUAACACAUGCAAGUCGAACGGAAAGGCCCUGCUUGCAGGGUACUCGAGUGGCGAACGGGUGAGUAACACGUGGGUGAUCUGCCCUGCACUUCGGGAUAAGCUUGGGAAACUGGGUCUAAUACCGGAUAGGAACCAUCUUUAGUGUGGUGGUUGGAAAGUUUUUUCGGUGUAGGAUGAGCUCGCGGCCUAUCAGCUUGUUGGUGGGGUAAUGGCCUACCAAGGCGGCGACGGGUAGCCGGCCUGAGAGGGUGUACGGCCACAUUGGGACUGAGAUACGGCCCAGACUCCUACGGGAGGCAGCAGUGGGGAAUAUUGCACAGUGGGCGCAAGCCUGAUGCAGCGACGCCGCGUGGGGGAUGAAGGCCUUCGGGUUGUAAACUCCUUUCGCUAGGGACGAAGCUUUGUUGUGACGGUACCUAGAUAAGAAGCACCGGCUAACUACGUG